AGUGAACGCUGGCGGUAGGCCUAACACAUGCAAGUCGAACGGCAGCACAGUAAGAGCUUGCUCUUACGGGUGGCGAGUAGCGGACGGGUGAGGAAUACAUCGGAAUCUACUUUUUCGUGGGGGAUAACGUAGGGAAACUUACGCUAAUACCGCAUACGACCUACGGGUGAAAGCAGGGGAACUUCGGACCUUGCGCGAUUGAAUGAGCCGAUGUCGGAUUAGCUAGUUGGCGGGGUAAAGGCCCACCAAGGCGACGAUCCGUAGCUGGUCUGAGAGGAUGAUCAGCCACACUGGAACUGAGACACGGUCCAGACUCCUACGGGAGGCAGCAGUGGGGAAUAUUGGACAAUGGGCGCAAGCCUGAUGCAGCCAUACCGCGUGGGUGAAGAAGGCCUUCGGGUUGUAAAGCCCUUUUGUUGGGAAAGAAAAGCAGCAGGUUAAUACCCCGCUGUUCUGACGGUACCCAAAGAAAAAGCACCGGCUAACUUCGUG
rnacentral:rRNA from 1 species